rnacentral:rRNA from 1 species
CGUGCAGGCGGUCUGGUCAGUGAGAUGUGAAAGACCCUGGCUCAACCAGGGAAGGUCAUCUCAUACUGCCAGGCUUGAGGACGGGAGAGGAGACGGGAAUUCCCGGUGUAGCGGUGAAAUGCACUGAUAUCGGGAGGAACACCAGUGGCGAAGGCGCGUCUCUGGCCCGAUCCUGACGCUCAGGCGCGAAAGCUGGGGGAGCAAACAGGAUUAGAUACCCUGGUAGUCC